UCUUCUAUUAGUCUCUUUCUUUCAAACUCCUCGUGGGUUUGAAGAGAGUGCUAUGAAUUAUGCUUGUGAUAUUCUGGUUGUUGUAAGAAAAUAUUUUGCUUUUGAAGCAGAGGAAAGUGGAAAAUGCUGCCAUGCUGCGCCAAGAGCUAUAUCUGCAUCUGAUCCACAAAUCCUUUUUUAGUAGUUUGUACUCAAUGCUGAGUUUUCUUGUGUGUUUGAACCAUAUCUUGCUAGUAUAAAGCAUGUCAAUCCAAAUCAUGGCAAGCAUCUAGUGCCAAAUCUUCGACUUAGCGACUGCGGCGGGAUUUGAUUGCCUGGAUCUCCCACCUUUCCAGUACCCAAGUAAGUUGUUCAUGCGUGAAGAGUUUGGUCCACAUGGACCAAGAAGAGUUUGGUCCAUCAACCUACUUGAUUGUUGGGCAGUGUAUUUGGACAUUUUCUUUCCCAUCUUCGAGACAUAGACUAUGUGUGAGAUUCCACGUUAGUUGGAGAGGAGAACGACAUAAACUAUAUGUGUGAGAUUCCACGUUAAAAUCCUUACAAAGGUGUAAAAUUUUUUCCCUAUCAAAUGCAUUUUAAAAAUCUUGUAGGAAGAAAAGCUUAAAAAAAACAAUAUUUGCUAGUAGUGGAUUUCGAGCUAUAAUAUAUAUAUUAAAACUAUAUUCGAUGAGGUCACCCUGAUUUUAUCUUUGAGAUUGGAUAGGGAUACCCAUUAAUUGAAGCAGGUGGGGCCACAGAGGAUGUGAGAAUGUGAGAAAUACCUAUCCAUCCCUACGCAGGAAGGCGGCAGUUCCAUUGCACUGAGCUGCCCAUGUCCAAUAAUGUUUGUGAAGGAUAAUGGCACGUGAAGAUUGGAGCCUAGAAAGAAGAACAUCUCCAACUUUUUGGUAUCAAUUCAUUCCAAGCGUGCAACUUUUCUGGAUACGGAUGGACCUAUCUAUCGUGUUGUGCUCAUCUAUUUUUUUUGCUUCAAUCCAAAUCCAAACUUUUAUAUCUAUUUAGUUUCUGAAUUUUCGAUCUUGUAUUUAUUAAAAAGAAUGGUAAGUUCGAUUGUUUGUAGUUCUGUAAGUUUAUUAACUAAA